AACUUGAUAUUUUGGAAAUAUUUGGUUUUGAAAACCAAUAAAAAACGUUCAAUUCGUUUGCAAGUUA
rnacentral:tRNA from 1 species